GCGGACAUGGCGGAACUGGCAGACGCGCUAGACUUAGGAUCUAGUUCGAAAGAGUGGGGGUUCAAGUCCUCUUGUCCGCACCA
rnacentral:tRNA from 1 species